UCAAACAAGGACCUCAGUUUGGCUGCUGC
rnacentral:piRNA from 1 species